CAUUUGCCAAGCGCGUCUUCAUUAAUCAAGAACGAAAGUCAGAGGUUCGAAGGCGAUCAGAUACCGCCCUAGUUCUGACCGUAAACGAUGCCAACUAGCGAUCCGCCGGCGGCUCUAAGGCCCUGGUGGGGAGCUUCCCGGAAACGAAAGUCUUCCGGUUCCGGGGGAAGUAUGGUUGCAAAGCUGAAACUUAAAGGAAUUGACGGAAGGGCACCACCAGGAGUGGAGCCUGCGGCUUAAUUUGACUCAACACGGGGAAACUCACCCGGCCCGGACACCGUGAGGAUUGACAGAUUGAUAGCUUUUUCAUGAUUCGGUGGUUGGUGGUGCAUGGCCGUUCUUAGUUCGUGGAUCGAUUUGUCUGGUUUAUUCCGAUAACGAGCGAGACUCCAGCCUGCUAACUAGUGCGAGCAUUACCGCUGUGCUCGUCUCACUUCUUAGAGGGAUUGGCUGCGUCUAGCGGCACGAAACGGAGCAAUAACAGGUCUGUGAUGCCCUUAGAUGUCCGGGGCUGCACGCGCGCUACACUGGCAAAGGCAGCGUGCUUGUCCGCCUCCGAAAGGAGCCGGUAAACCCUUGAAAAUUUGCCGUGAUUGGGAUCGGAAAUUGCAAUUAUUUUCCGUGAACGAGGAAUUCCUAGUAAGUGCGAGUCAUCAGCUCGCGUUGAUUACGUCCCUGCCCUUUGUACACACCGCCCGUCGCUGCCUAGAACUGAGCCAUUUCGAGAAUAUUCGGGAUCACCGGUUGCGGGUCCUUCACGGGGCACGCCUCUGGCCAGAGAACGAACGUAAUCGCAGUGGCUUGAACCGGGCAAAAGU
rnacentral:rRNA from 1 species